rnacentral:rRNA from 1 species
ACGAACGCUGGCGGCAUGCCUAACACAUGCAAGUCGAACGAGACCUUCGGGUCUAGUGGCGCACGGGUGCGUAACGCGUGGGAAUCUGCCCUUCGGUUGGGAAUAACUGAGAGAAAUUUCAGCUAAUACCUUAUAAUGUCUUCGGACCAAAGAUUUAUCGCCGAGGGAUGAGCCCGCGUAGGAUUAGGUAGUUGGUGGGGUAAUGGCCUACCAAGCCGACGAUCCUUAGCUGGUCUGAGAGGAUGAUCAGCCACACUGGGACUGAGACACGGCCCAGACUCCUACGGGAGGCAGCAGUGGGGAAUAUGGGACAAUGGGCGAAAGCCUGAUCCAGCAAUGCCGCGUGAGUGAUGAAGGCCUUAGGGUUGUAAAGCUCUUUUACCCGGGAUGAUAAUGACAGUACCGGGAGAAUAAGCUCCGGCUAACUCCGU